rnacentral:rRNA from 1 species
AACGAACGCUGGCGGCAGGCCUAACACAUGCAAGUCGAACGCCGUAGCAAUACGGAGUGGCAGACGGGUGAGUAACACGUGGGAACGUACCCUUUGGUUCGGAAUAACUCAGGGAAACUUGAGCUAAUACCGGAUAAGCGCGAAAGCGGAAAGAUUUAUCGCCGAAGGAUCGGCCCGCGUCCGAUUAGCUAGUUGGUGAGGUAAUGGCUCACCAAGGCGACGAUCGGUAGCUGGUCUGAGAGGAUGAUCAGCCACACUGGGACUGAGACACGGCCCAGACUCCUACGGGAGGCAGCAGUGGGGAAUAUUGCACAAUGGGCGCAAGCCUGAUGCAGCGACGCCGCGUGGGGGAUGACGGCC